rnacentral:rRNA from 1 species
UGAGUAACCUGCCCUUAACUCUGGGAUAAGCCUGGGAAACUGGGUCUAAUACCGGAUAUGACUCCUCAUCGCAUGGUGGGGGGUGGAAAGCUUUUUGUGGUUUUGGAUGGACUCGCGGCCUAUCAGCUUGUUGGUGAGGUAAUGGCUUACCAAGGCGACGACGGGUAGCUGGUCUGAGAGGAUGGCCAGCCACAUUGGGACUGAGACACGGCCCAGACUCCUACGGGAGGCAG